GACGAACGCUGGCGGCGUGCUUAACACAUGCAAGUCGAACGAAGUGGCGAACGGGUGAGUAACGCGUAAUCAACCUGCCCUUCAGAGGGGGACAACAGUUGGAAACGACUGCUAAUACCGCAUACUGAAGGAGGGGAUUGCGUCUGAUUAGCUAGUUGGAGGGGUAACGGCCCACCAAGGCGAUGAUAGGUAGCCGGUCUUGAGGAAUGAACGGCCCACUUGGGACUGGAGACAGGCCCAGACCCCUACGGGAGGCCGCAGUGGGGAAUCGUCCGAAAUGGCCGAAAGUCUGACGGAGCAACGCCGCGUGAGUGGUGCCGGCCUUAGGGUUGUAAAGCUCUGUUAAUCGGGACGCGGUACCGGAAUAGAAAGCCACGGCUAACUACGCGCCAGCAGCCCCGGUAAUAC
rnacentral:rRNA from 1 species